rnacentral:rRNA from 1 species
AGAAUCAACGCUGGCGGCGUGCCUAACACAUGCAAGUCGAACGAGAAAGUGGAGCAAUCCAUGAGUACAGUGGCGACCGGGUGAGUAACACGUGACCAAUCUACCUUCGAGUGGGGGAUAACUCCGGGAAACCGGGGCUAAUACCGCAUAACAUCUUUGGAAUGCAAAUUCCGUUGAUCAAAGGAGCAAUUCGCUUGAAGAGGAGGUCGCGGCUGAUUAGCUAGUUGGCGGGGUAAUGGCCCACCAAGGCGAAGAUCGGUAUCCGGCCUGAGAGGGCGCACGGACACACUGGAACUGAAACACGGUCCAGACUCCUACGGGAGGCAGCAGUGGGGAAUUUUGCGCAAUGGGGGAAACCCUGACGCAGCAACGCCGCGUGGAGGAUGAAGUCCCUUGGGACGUAAACUCCUUUCGACCAAGACGAUAAUGACGGUACUGGUGGAAGAAGCACCGGCUAACUCUGCGCCAGCAGCCGCGGUAA